UUUACAUUUGCUCCUGAGGGGGGCGCGGGGUGUGUUCCCCGGUGGCAGGAAGGCUGUGGGGCCCAGGCCGGGAGAUUAGGGACUCAGAAUGACUCCUCCUGAAGAGCUCCAUCCCCCUUUGUCUAACAGGCGCCCAUAAGACUCCUCUGUCCUGCUGGGCCCCUGCCAUGGGCCUCGGUUUCCUCUGUUGUGUGGCUUUUUGCCUCCUGCAGGCAGGUCCAGGGAAUGCUGGCAUCACGCAGACCCCCAAGUUCCAGGUCCUGAAGACAGGCCAGCGCAUGACACUGAGCUGUGCCCAGGAUCUGAAACACGACCGCAUGCACUGGUACCGACAGGAUCCAGGGCUGGGGCUGAGGCUCCUCUAUUACUCAUAUGAUGUUAACAUCACUGAAAAAGGGGAUAUUCCUGAUGGAUACAGUGUGUCUAGAUCAAGUAGAGAGCACUUCCCCCUCACCCUGGAGUCGGCGAGCCCCUCCCAGACAUCUGUGUACUUCUGUGCCAGCAGUGACCACACAGCGCUAUACGGCUGCCUCUGCUCUGCACAUUAAUACCCGGGAGGCCCCGCACCCGGGAACUCAGGGACACCCUGGCAGAGAUCUCAGCACAGGGAUGUUGGGACUCCAGUGACACUGGGUUUGCACUGCCAGUGUGUAUCUCCAGACCAUCUCAACCAGCCCUGGAUGCAGUCUGGAUCCAGAGGUCUCCACUGUUGCUCCUUGAUGGUGAUUCGCUGAAUCUGAUUUUUCCAGUUGUAAGCUUGAGGGAUACCAUCCAGCAUGGGACAGGGUUUGUGACUUGGACAUACAUGGGCUCCUUGUUCUGGAACCGCAUCAGUUUUCUGGAGAAUUCUCCCCCAGCCUCAUCUCUCAGGUGGUCUCACUGCUACCUUCCUUCUCCAUGAGGAUGGUUGUGCUCCAGAGCCCCACCAGGUCCUUCCUCUUCCCACCUCUCUAGCCUUUCCGUUCCAUCCACACUGCCAGGCGCUCAUCCAAGCCUGACUCUUCUAGUUGUACCUCCUCUGGCAUAGAGCUUUCCUUUUCUUAGAGACUAAGACUUACCUGGGCUGCAGGUCUCAGCAAUGCUGCUUCCAAGGGAAAUUUGCUCCCCUUUCUGCCAAGCUCAAUUUCCCUUCUGUAACCUUGCAAGGCCUCAUGUGCCUGCUACUCAGUAGAAUUUAGCACAGUUAGAAUUUUCUAGAACUUGGCGGAUUAUUUUUCUAUCCAACUAGAUUUUAAGGCUGUAACUGCCCCCUUAUCCCCUUACCCGCCUUACUAUACUGAGAACCUAUUGUACAGAGAAAGGGUGAAUGAAAGACUGACUGAAUGGAUGGAAGAACCAAUAACAAAACACCUUAGAUCACACAGUAACUUAGCAUUAACUAUAAGGAGAA